rnacentral:tRNA from 1 species
GCCGAAGUGGCGGAACAGGCAGACGCGCUGGACUCAAAAUCCAGUUCCCCAAAAGGAGUGUGGGUUCGACCCCCACCUUCGGCA